UACGUAGGUGGCAAGCGUUGUCCGGAUUUACUGGGCGUAAAGGAUGCGUAGGCGGACAUUUAAGUCAGAUGUGAAAUACCCGAGCUUAACUUGGGUGCUGCAUUUGAAACUGGGUGUCUAGAGUGCAGGAGAGGUAAGUGGAAUUCCUAGUGUAGCGGUGAAAUGCGUAGAGAUUAGGAAGAACACCAGUGGCGAAGGCGACUUACUGGACUGUAACUGACGCUGAGGCAUGAAAGCGUGGGAGCAAACAGG
rnacentral:rRNA from 1 species